UGAGAGGAUGAUCCCCCACACUGGCACUGAGACACGGGCCAGACUCCUACGGGAGGCAGCAGUGAGGAAUAUUGGGCAAUGGGCGAAAGCUUGACCCAGCCAUGCCGCGUGCAGGAUGACUGUCCUAUGGAUCGUAAACUGCUUUUAUACGAGAAGAAUUUCCCCGAUUCUUCGGGGGUUGACGGUAUCGUAUGAAUAAGGGUCGGCUAACUCCGUGCCAGCAGCCGCGGUAAUACGGAGGACCCAAGCGUUAUCCGGAUUUACUGGGUUUAAAGGGUGCGCAGGCGGACUAGUAAGUCGAUGGUGAAAGCCUACAGCUUAACUGUAGAAUUGCCAUUGAUACUGCUAUUCUUGGGUGCAGUCGAAGCGAGUGGAAUGUGUAGUGUAGCGGUGAAAUGCAUAGAUAUUACACAGAACACCGAUAGCGAAAGCAGCUCGCUAGGCUGUUACUGACGCUGAGGCACGAAAGCGUGGGGAGCGAACAGGAUUAGAUACCGUGGUAGUCCACGCUGUAAACGAUGAUCACUAGUUGUUGGCGAUACAUUGUCAGUGACUGAGCGAAAGCGUUAAGUGAUCCACCUGGGAAGUACGUCCGCAAGGAUGAAACUCAAAGGAAUUGACGGGGGCUCGCACAACCGGUGGAACACGUGGUUCAAUUCGAUGCUACGCGAGGAACCUUACCUGGGCUUAAAUGCAGAACGACCUCCCGGGAAACCGGGAUUCCCUUCGGGACGGUUUGCAAGGUGCUGCACGGCUGUCGUCAGCUCGUGCCAUGAGGUGUCGGGUUAAGUCCCUUAACGAGCGCAACCCCUAUUGUUAGUCGCCAACAGGUAAUGCUGGGGACUCUAGCAAAACUGCCAGUGUAAGCUGGAGGAAGGUGGGGAUGACGUCAAGUCAGCAUGGCCCUUAUGUCCAGGGCUACACACGUGUUACAAUGGCCGGCACAAAGGGCAGCUACCACGCGAGUGGAUGCUAAUCUCUAAAUCCGGUCUUAGUUCGGAUCGGAGUCUGCAAUUCGACUUCGUGAAGGUGGAAUCGGUAGUAAUCGCGCAUCAGCAACGGCGCGGUGAAUACGUUCCCGAGCCUUGUACACACUGCCCGUCAA
rnacentral:rRNA from 1 species